AUUGAACGCUGGCGGCAUGCCUUACACAUGCAAGUCGAACGGUAACGGGCCUUCGGGUGCCGACGAGUGGCGAACGGGUGAGUAAUACAUCGGAACGUGCCCGAUCGUGGGGGAUAACGAGGCGAAAGCUUUGCUAAUACCGCAUACGAUCUACGGAUGAAAGCAGGGGACCGCAAGGCCUUGCGCGGACGGAGCGGCCGAUGGCAGAUUAGGUAGUUGGUGGGAUAAAAGCUUACCAAGCCGACGAUCUGUAGCUGGUCUGAGAGGAUGAUCAGCCACACUGGGACUGAGACACGGCCCAGACUCCUACGGGAGGCAGCAGUGGGGAAUUUUGGACAAUGGGCGCAAGCCUGAUCCAGCCAUGCCGCGUGCAGGAUGAAGGCCUUCGGGUUGUAAACUGCUUUUGUACGGAACGAAAAGCCUACUUUUAAUACAGGAGGGUCAUGACGGUACCGUAAGAAUAAGCACCGGCUAACUACGUG
rnacentral:rRNA from 1 species